GAGAACUGAUAUUCCGACAGGUGGAAUGAAGGAGUAACGUCCUGAAACGCCUGCCUUAAAACUGCGAUUUGCUUUAGCUACGGCAGUGGUAACUAUGGUAAAACGCUCGCGGAAGUCGGCAGAAGUUUGCCCAAACAGACAAUGCUGUGGAAAGCGUUCCAGAGGUGGAAUGUGCAGAUGAUAUGCCGGAGGUCUAUAAA
rnacentral:ncRNA from 1 species